GCUCAUUAAAUCAGUUGUGGUUUAUUGGAUGAUGGCCCCCACCGUUGAAUAACUGUGGAAAAUCCAGAGCUAAUGCAUGCACUCAUGCCUCGAUCCCUCCCGGGAGAGGGGCGCAGUUAUUAGACCAAGACCAAUCGUGGCGGGGGCCCCUUCGGGGGUGCCGUCRUGUUAACUCUGUGGUGACUCUGGAUAACCUCGGGCUGAUCGCAUGGCCUCGUGCCGGCGACGUAUCUUUCAAAUGUCUGCCCUAUCAAAUGUCGAUGGGAGGUGCCUUGCCUCCCAUGUUCUCGACGGGUGACGGGGAAUCAGGGUUCGAUUCCGGAGAGGGAGCAUGAGAGUCGGCUACCACGUCCAAGGAAGGCAGCAGGCGCGCAAAUUACCCACUCCUGACACGGGGAGGUAGUGACGAAAACUAACGGUGCGGGACUCCGAUGAGGCUCCGCAACCGGAAUGAGUACACUUUAAAUCCUUGUAUCGAGGAUCCAUUGGAGGGCAAGUCUGGUGCCAGCAGCCGCGGUAAUUCCAGCUCCAAUAGCGUAUAUUAAAGUUGUUGCAGUUAAAAAGCUCGUAGUUGGAUCUCGGUGCUGCCUGUAGUUGGUCCCGCGGGUCCCAAGGCCUUGCGGCCUCCGUGGUGUACCGCUGCAGGCGCCCUACUGGCGGGGGGAGGGUCUCACGCGGACCGCUCCUGCCCCCACUCGGCCCGCCGUGGCUGGUGGGUAGGCAGUUGCUGGUGCCCCGAACGGGCGCGCCAGUGGCACCCGUCCGAUUUACUUUGAAGAAAUUAGAGUGUUCAAGGCAGGCUGCUAUGGCCUGAAUAAUGGUGCAUGGAAUAAUAGAAGAGGACAACCGGUCCGCAUUCUGUUGGUUCUCCGGGACUGGAGGUAAUGAUUAAGAGGGGCAGGCGGGGGCACUCGUACUGUGGCGUGAGAGGUGAAAUUCUUGGACCGCUGCAAGACGGACUACUGCGAAAGCAUUUGCCAAGGAUGUUUUCAUUAAUCAAGAACGAAAGUCAGAGGUUCGAAGACGAUCAGAUACCGUCCUAGUUCUGACCUUAAACGAUGCCGACUGGCGAUCCGCCGGAGUUUCGUUUCAAUGACCCGGCGGGCAGCCCCAGGGAAACCGAUUAAGUCUUUGGGUUCCGGGGGAAGUAUGGUUGCAAAGCUGAAACUUAAAGGAAUUGACGGAAGGGCACCACCAGGAGUGGAGCCUGCGGCUUAAUUUGACUCAACCCGGGGAAACUCACCCGGCCCGGACACCGUGAAGGAUGGACAAAUGGGAAGCUUUUUUUUGAUCGGGGGGGGGGGGGGGCAUGGCCGUUUUUAGUUGGUGGAGCGAUCUGUCUGGUUAAUUCCGAUAACGAACGAGACCCCGGCCUGCUAAAUAGUCCGCCUCCCCGCCAAUGGGAGGGGCGAACCCGUAGACUUCUUAGAGGGAAACUCGGCGUCGAACAGCCGACUGAACGGGGGCGAUAACAGGUCUGUGAUGCCCUUAGAUGUCCGGGGCCGCACGCGCGCUACAUUGAAAGAGUCAGAGGGUCGAGUCCUGGCCUGACGGGGCCGGGCAAUCCGAAAACUUUAUUCGUGCUAGGACUGGGGGCUUGCAAUUGACCCCACCAACGAGGAAUUCCCAGUAAGCGCGAGUCAUCAGCUCGUGUUGAUCACGUCCCUGCCCUUUGUACACACCGCCCGUCGCUACUACCGAUUGGAUGGUUUAGUGAGGCCCUCGGACGGGCCCCGGGCCGUCUCCUCUGGGGUCGGCUGUCUUGGUGCUGCCCGAAAGGGGGUCGAACUUGAUCAUUUAGAGGAAGUAAAAGUCGUAACAAGGU
rnacentral:rRNA from 1 species